AAUGGGCGCAAGCCUGAUCCAGCAAUGCCGCGUGUGUGAAGAAGGCCUGCGGGUUGUAAAGCACUUUCAGUGGGGAAGAACGGAUGCGGGCCAAUACCCCGGAUCACUGACGUUACCCACAGAAGAAGCACCGGCUAACUCCGUGCCAGCAGCCGCGGUAAUACGGAGGGUGCAAGCGUUAAUCGGAAUUACUGGGCGUAAAGCGUGCGCAGGCGGUUUUGUAAGACAGAGGUGAAAUCCCCGGGCUCAACCUGGGAACUGCCUUUGUGACUGCAAGGCUGGAGUACGGCAGAGGGGGAUGGAAUUCCGCGUGUAGCAGUGAAAUGCGUAGAUAUGCGGAGGAACACCGAUGGCGAAGGCAAUCCCCUGGGCCUGUAUUGACGCUGAGGCACGAAAGCGUGGGGAUCAAA
rnacentral:rRNA from 1 species